GCGGGGAUUGCCGAGCGGUCAAAGGCGCUGGACUUAGGAUCCAGUCCUUAGUGGUUCGGGAGUUCGAAUCUCCCUCCCCGCACCA
rnacentral:tRNA from 1 species